CCUCUAUAUACUAAUUGAAGGAGGAAAAUUUGGGGAUUUUAGGUGUAAGAGCAGUGCUCUUGCGUGAAAUGAACCCACGAAGGUUCAACCUAUGAAUUCUGAGAUUUUCUGACUUUGUUUGUGGUCAAAGGGGGAAGAAGGAUCAUACGUCGUCAUCCCAGUUACUUCUAUGCAAGAGCAACUCCAAUCUUUCAAGAUGGUGGGCAUCAUAUUCUAAAUUCUAGAACUACACUCAUCGGUUGAAACCACUGCAUGAAUACAAACAAGGAAAAAUCUCGGGUAUUUGAGGAUUUGGUAUAAGUAUGGUCACUUAGGCACAAAACGGAACCAAAACGGAGAAAAACAAGCCGAAGAUGCACAGGCACGCAUUGCCGAGCACACUUGGAGGUUCGUCGAGUAGCGAAUUUUUGCAUUCUUUUAAAACAAGCAAGCCCUGAAGGAAGUGGAUCAAAAGGCGAUGAACUGAAGAAGUCGGCGUUUCGCUGAAUAGUUCCGCAAAGUAGAGUUAUUCCGCCCAAUGUUACAUCAUGCAUGGAAAAAAGACAAGGCACAAACAACGACGAAUCAGAGAAAGAGCGAAUCGCCGAAUCACUCGAAGAAUCACGAUUAACGACGCUGAAUGGAUCUACCAACACUACAUCUGAAGCCUAUAAAUACUAAUCUCUUUAUUAUUUUUAGGGAGUUGAACAUUAUUAUAAUUUUCCACUUUUUAGAACUCUAGUUUUUAUGUUUUCUCUCAAGUUUGGAGAGGGUUUUGAGGAAGCUUGAAGAAGAAGUUCUUCCAAACUUGGAAGUUGGUCUUCUACAUUUACCUUCCUUUGCCAUUUUUAAGGUUUAAUCUCUUAUACCUAUUUGAGUCCUUUAUCAUUUUAAGUA